rnacentral:rRNA from 1 species
UACGUAGGGGGCAAGCGUUGUCCGGAAUUAUUGGGCGUAAAGAGCGCGUAGGCGGUCCGAUAAGUCGGCUGUGAAAGUCAGGGGCUCAACCCUUGAAAGCCGGCCGAUACUGUCGGACUAGAGUCCGGAAGAGGCAAGUGGAAUUCCCGGUGCAGCGGUGAAAUGCGCAGAUAUCGGGAGGAACACCAAUUGCGAAGGCAGCUCGCUGGGACGUUACUGACGCUGAGACGCGAAAGCGUGGGGAGCAAACAGG